GAAUAGUCCAUAGAGCUGCAGCUAAAGACCACAACCACUCAUUUUAUCUAGAGCAAUGGAAGUACUGCCGGUGAAUCCGCCUGCGGCUGGGACUUAAACUCCAGCUCUUCCAGUUCCUGGGUGUGUGUGAUUUGGAGAAGAAGGAAAAUUCUGUGUAAGAAUAUCC